ensembl:antisense Gm27242 predicted gene 27242
AAGACAGCCUUGAGGUCCAGCAUCACCAGGGCUGUGAGGCCUCUACUACUGCUUCUGCUGGGUCAUGAAUCCUGAGGCCGUGAAGCGGGAGCUCCCCAGACCCCGUGGGCGUUGGGGUUUCCCCUGAGCGAGAGGAGAAAUUAAAAGGGAGUUGGAUAGAGGCUGAGGCUGCAGCUUUAUGUUCAGUCUCCACCCUCCACCUCCUCUGCUUGCCUUUGCAGAUCUGUGCAUUGCGUGCAUUGCUCCCACUUGAUGGCUCCAUCAUAGGACACUUAGGAGGAGGUGAGACCUAAUUGGAGGAAGUAAGUCACUGGGGAUUGAGUUCCUGAUGUGUUCCAUUCAUCACUGAUUUCUGUAUCUCUCUGUACUUCCUGUCCACCAUUAAGUCAGAAGUCUACCCUAUUACUGUGAUGUUCUGGCCAGACACAUGGGGUCACGCAACUAUGAACUGAGCUCUCUAAAGUGAAGGGUAGAAUGACAUCUUUCCUCCCUUAGGUUGUUUAUCAGAUCCUCUAUCACAGUGAUGAGAAAAGUAGCUAAUAUUCCCUCUAAACAAGAUCAAGGCCUAAGCAUCCUAGAAGUAGAUAUGUCCUGGGAUAGCCUCUUCAUUCUCAAAUGAAGCAUAAAUAAGUGAUGGGUAAAGGAGCAGGGUCAAGCCACCAGCACGCAGUCAACAUAUGUUUUCAUGUGAACAUUUUAGGGGUUUUGUUUUGUUUAAUUGGGAAAGUCUCUGUUCUCAGUAAGGCUUAGUAAUUUCAAAUUAAGACCACUGAAUUUACAUUGAUAGUGUCCAAAAAGCCUCACUAAAUAAGCACACAAGAUGGGCCUCAGGGCAUACAUAAAAAGGCAUAGAAAAACCAUGAGUGGUCUUGAUUGUCCCUUUGACUCACCUGGGCAGAGCCAACCUCAAAAGUGGAUUUACUGCCAUCAGAUUGGCCUAGAGCAUAUCUAUAAACAUCUUGGGUGCUAGUCAGUGUAGGAGUACUCAGCCCACUGCGGGCAGUGCUAUCCCUAGUUAGGUUGCCCUGUGCUAGCUGGAGGUAAACUUGGAGUAAGCAGAAUUUCUCCCAUGGUCUCCACAUAAAGCUCCUGCUUUGGUUUCCCCCAAUGAUGGACUGUAACCUAUAAAAUGAAAUAAACUCUUUCUUCUCC